UCCAAGUCUUAAAAUGAUUUAUUUAAAAUUGAGAUCCUUAGCAUUCACAUAUAACCUAAAAUUUGCAUGACUUGAAUUGGUUAAGUUGCAAAACUGGGUUGAAAUCAACACCUUUAUCAAAUUGUGCUUGUAACAAUCAAAAUCAUGAGAGGCCUCUCCUACCAACUACCAAAAAUGAAAUCUAAUGACUAGAAGAUAUUGCCCAACCA
rnacentral:lncRNA from 1 species